AUUGAACGCUGGCGGCAUGCCUUACACAUGCAAGUCGAACGGCAGCACGGGAGCAAUCCUGGUGGCGAGUGGCGAACGGGUGAGUAAUAUAUCGGAACGUGCCCAGUCGUGGGGGAUAACGCAGCGAAAGCUGUGCUAAUACCGCAUACGAUCUCUGGAUGAAAGCGGGGGACCUGCAAGGGCCUCGCGCGAUUGGAGCGGCCGAUAUCAGAUUAGCUAGUUGGUGGGGUAAAAGCUCACCAAGGCGACGAUCUGUAGCUGGUCUGAGAGGGCGACCCGCCACACUGGGACUGAGACACGGCCCAGACUCCUACGGGAGGCAGCAGUGGGGAAUAUUGGACAAUGGGCGCAAGCCUGAUCCAGCAAUGCCGCGUGGGUGAAGACGGCCUGCGGGUUGUAAAGCCCUUUAGGCGGGGAGGAACGGUCGAGUGAUAAUACCGCUCGGCGCUGACGUUACCCGCAGAAUAAGCACCGGCUAACUCCGUG
rnacentral:rRNA from 1 species